GCAGCUGCUUGUUCACCUGUAGUGGUCGUGGUCGCCCUCUCAGGUCGCAUUGUUGCUUUGCGUUGGUCACAUUAGACUAUUAUUGGAAGCACCUUCAGUAAAUUGCGUUCAAAUCUAUUUUCUGCACAUUUGUGAUACUUUCAUGUGAACAACAUGUUUUCAGGGAUUUAUUUUCUCAUUUGAUAUCUAUCGAUGUUGCAACACAGUUAUUUUUCAAUCAAUUUAACUCUCAGCGGAAACUUAUUGGUCCCCUGUGGAGCCUAACCUUAUCAAAUAUGUCUCAACAUGUAGCUGUGAUAGUGACGGACCAGCAGAUGGAUGAUUUCCAGCCGUGAUGACUUUGUUGUGAAGCCUGUACGUAUCAUUUAUGGGGACACUCUUGCUGAAACCAGAUGGUUCAAGUGGACUUGGAUUUAGAGCUGAAAGGAAACGCUGUCGCUUCGGACAUUCACACUUCGGCCAGUCCUCUGUUGACAGAUCGAGGAGUGGACAGGGUGUCUAAAGCAGAAGAAGAUAUCAACAGCUGAGGUAGCUGAGAUGAAUGCUGACAGAUGCUCUCCUCUGUGACGAGACUGGUCCUUCACUAAAUGAGUGGAGAAAGUGACAAGUGCCUUUGCUGCUAGCGUUCACUUUGGUCGUGGUUAACUAGUUAGCAUGACAGCUAGCCAAAAUAUCAAACUUCUCGAAGCAAUAAGAACUUCAAUUAUUGUUACUAAAUUAAUUUUGAAAUUUCACUGUCAUAUUGAAAUAAAAAAAAAAAUUCUCAAACAAGUUUCUGUGCAAACUAUAAAGAAAAGCUUUUUAGAUUUUUUUUUCAACUGCAUGAAAUUUCACUGUGGUCAUUCGUUUUAUAUAUAUUUUUUUGUUUUUAUUUUUAAUUACUGCUGCAGCUGUGAUGUACAUGCAAGAGAUAGUUUAUAGGUAAUAAGGACAUCAUGUAUUUAUAAGAUGAUUAUUAACAUCAUUAUGCAUUAAUGAGACUAUAUAAGUGUUGAUGAAAGUAUUCUCGACAAGAACGUAUACCAAACUAGUUAACCGUUUGGCUGAAGAACAUUUAA